GCUUAUCACCAUUCCAGAUUGAAUAUACCCGAUCUCGUCUGAUCUCGGAAGUCAAGCAAUCUCGGGCUUGGUUAGUACUUGGAUGGGUGAC
rfam:Ciona savignyi cont_51436, whole genome shotgun sequence.